UUUCGCAAUGCCCGAAAGGGUGACGAAGCGACGCCGCGUGGGUGAGGAAGGCCCCCGGGUUGUAAAGCCCUGUCAGGAGUUAAGAAAUGUAGGUACGCUAAUAUCGUAUCUAUUUGACAAAGGCUCCAAAGGAAGCCACGGCUAACUCUGUGCCAGCAGCCGCGGUAAUACAGAGGUGGCAAGCGUUGUUCGGAAUUAUUGGGCGUAAAGAGCACGUAGGUGGAUUUGUAAGUCAGAUGUGAAAGCCUUCUGUUCAACGGGAGAAUUGCAUCUGAAACUACAAACCUUGAGUAUAGGAGGGGAGAAUGGAACUUCUGGUGGAGCGGUGAAAUGCGUAGAUAUCAGAAGGAACGCCGGCGGCGAAAGCGAUUCUCUGGCCUAUUACUGACACUCAGUGUGCGAAAGCUAGGGGAGCAAACGGGAUUAGAUACCCCGGUAGUCCUAGCCGUAAACGAUGGGCACUAAGUAGAGGGGUA
rnacentral:rRNA from 1 species